rfam:Stegodyphus mimosarum contig12319, whole genome shotgun sequence.
GCCUUCGUGGUGUAGUGGUAUGCAUGCUCGACGCGUAACCGAGAGGUCCGUGGUUCGAUUCCCGGCGAAGGCG